rnacentral:snRNA from 1 species
AUACUUACCUGGACGGGGUCUAUGGGUGAUCAAGGAGGCCCAUGGCCUAGGUUGGCGGCCUCCAUUGCACUUUGGAGGUGCGCCCGCCUAACGUCUCCCCAAUGUGGGAGAGUGUACGUCAUAAUUUGUGUCAGCGGGGGUACGCGUUCGCGCGGCCCCUGA